rnacentral:rRNA from 1 species
AACGAACGCUGGCGGCAGGCUUAACACAUGCAAGUCGAACGGGCGUAGCAAUACGUCAGUGGCGGACGGGUGAGUAACACGUGGGAAUAUGCCUUUCGGUUCGGAACAACUCGGGGAAACUCGUGCUAAUUCCGGAUACGCCCUUACGGGGAAAGGAUUUAUCGCCGAAGGAUUAGCCCGCGUUGGAUUAGCUAGUUGGUGAGGUAAUGGCCCACCAAGGCGACGAUCCAUAGCUGGUUUGAGAGAACGACCAGCCACACUGGGACUGAGACACGGCCCAGACUCCUACGGGAGGCAGCAGUGGGGGAAUCUUGGGACAAUGGAGGAAACUCUGAUCCAGCCAUGCCGCGUGAGUGAUGAAGGCCUU